rnacentral:lncRNA from 1 species
UGUUCAUGAAAUUUUAUUGAUUUCUUAAGCUCGAAAAUUAAUUAAUGUCUGUCAGAGUUAAAGUCAUAAAUAAUUGGCAAUUUUAUUACUGGAAUAAUAAAUAAAUUAAAAAUAAUUUUCUUAUCUGUUUGAAAAACNUUUUAUAGUAACAAAUUUAUAAUUUUUACAGGUNCCAAAGGCANGAAAAAAACGACUUUCAACAUCAACAAUUGAUUNUCUGUGCAGUCNAGACCAAAAAUCAAAAAGAGGCAAAGAUGCUAACUNAGAUUUUUUCAUUCCAAGUCAACAAAAUGAUACUCAAGAUAUUUCAGUAGACGACUAUUUAACUCCUAAAUUUACUGAACCACCACCAAGUGACAAAGAGCACACCAAUCAAUAUGUAGCUCAUGCAGAAAGUCAAACUUGUAUAGAAGUUGAAAAUAUUUUUGUGAAAAAACUACAAAAUGAAAUUGAAACACUUAUGAAAAAAUUAAGUGCAUCUACCCUUAACUAUGAAUCAUGUAUAAAUGACAGUAAGAAGUUUAAGUUUUAUACAGGUCUUAUGCCAGAAGAUUUUGAUAUUGUGUGGAAUUUCUUAGGACCGCCAACUGAAUCAUCACUGAGGAUCUGGCACUCGCAAUCAGAAACUAAUAACCGCAUAACGAUAAAGCAAUUUAAAGUAUUAUCGUUAAAAAAUCAACUUUUUUUAACCCUUGUGAGAUUAAGAUGUGGUUUUUUAUUGUACGAUUUGAGUUGUCGGUUUGGUGAACGUCGUCUUCGGUCAAAAACAUGUUUUUUAUAAGUCCACUUUACUAUGUUUUUAAAUGGAGCUCUGACAGUGUUUGUCCCUACCGAACUACUAGCGCUGCUAGUGAGUAAUUUUUCGUACUUCAGGAAAAAGGCUCAUUGUUUACUUUUAUAUUCUCUUGAAAAUUACCCAAUUUUAUGCACUCUUUUUCCCCCUGUUGUUCUCUGAUGUUCUGAAAUAUGAUUUAAUUACACUGUCAAUCUUCCGCUAAGUUUAUUUAAUUAUUGUUCACAUUAGCUGGUUCAAUGCCUCGAGUUUUCUCCCUUAGAGUAUCGAUCCUUACCAGGUAUCGAUAGUGCUUCGAGACGCUACCGCGAGCUGCUACUACGACGUGGUCGCCUGUUGCUACUACGACGUGGUCGCCUGUUGAGAAUUAGGAUCACGGAGGAUAGAUAUCAGGAGUCCAAACGGUAUAAGAACCUUGUACAUCUUUUUAAUUUGAAAUAUAUACAUUCAAAUGAUUUGAAGUAUAUCUAUCUUUUUUAAUCUUCCUUUUGUACAAUUUACAAGACAUCGUUUUUCUUUGAAAAGAAAAAUUAUUCUGAAUAUUCCACAUAUGAUGACUGUUGCUUUAUUCAUAUUUGUGACACUCAAAUAUCACGUUCAAAUUCUAUUCUUGUUUCUUUUCGAAUGAUUAAUAUUGUUUCAAGAUUUGUGUUCAUGUUCAUAAAGGUACUUGUAAACAAGAUCAUAUCGUUAACUUGACUUUUCGUACAUUGAUGUUAACGCUAUAGGGACAACCGAAAGUCCCUAACAUGUUCGCGAAUAGCGAUGUAGCCACGAAGCCUGGAUACAGUGAUCCCAGAAACUUUUGCUUGUCUGAUCGAAACAGUGCCGUAAAAUUAUCG